UGCUUUCGAUAGGCGUCGACCGGCGCACGGGCGAGUAACGCGUAUCCAACCUGCCCAUAACUAAGGGAUAAUCCGUAGAAAUGCGGUCUAAUACCUUAUGUGGUCCGAGGAAGACAUCUGAUUUGGAUUAAAGAUUUAUCGGUUAUGGAUGGGGAUGCGUCUGAUUAGAUUGUUGGCGGGGCAACGGCCCACCAAGUCUGCGAUCAGUAGGGGUUCUGAGAGGAAGGUCCCCCACAUUGGAACUGAGACACGGUCCAAACUCCUACGGGAGGCAGCAGUGAGGAAUAUUGGUCAAUGGGCGGGAGCCUGAACCAGCCAAGUAGCGUGCAGGACGACGGCCCUAUGGGUUGUAAACUGCUUUUGCAGGGGGAUAAAGUGAGUCACGUGUGACUUAUUGCAGGUACCCUGCGAAUAAGGACCGGCUAAUUCCGUGCCAGCAGCCGCGGUAAUACGGAAGGUCCGGGCGUUAUCCGGAUUUAUUGGGUUUAAAGGGAGCGUAGGCCGUGGAUUAAGUGUGUUGUGAAAUGUAGGCGCUCAACGUCUGACUUGCAGCGCAUACUGGUCCACUUGAGUGCGCGCAACGCGGGCGGAAUUUGUCGUGUAGCGGUGAAAUGCUUAGAUAUGACGAAGAACCCCGAUUGCGAAGGCAGCUCGCGGGAGCGCAACUGACGCUGAAGCUCGAAAGUGCGGGUAUCGAACAGGAUUAGAUACCCUGGUAGUCCGCACGGUAAACGAUGGAUGCCCGCUUUUCGGUCAUAAGACCGUGAGGCCAAGUGAAAACAUUAAGCAUCCCACCUGGG
rnacentral:rRNA from 1 species